rnacentral:lncRNA from 1 species
GUGACCACUCAGGCAUGAGCUGUUUAAGAUGAGAACAGGAGUGGGAAAUGGGGUGACGGGGACACCACAAUACUUCACAAACCUGUUAACUCAGUGGGACAACACAAAACAGAUCAUAAUGACAAAAGAAAGUCCAGGUCACAAGCUGACAGAGUCUGUGAUUAUCAACUCUUCAUCCUCAAUGACCAAAAGCAGGAAAGCAAGACAGCAAGGACAGUGACUGUGCCCUCUGCGGCAGCUUGAAGGGUCUGGAUAAAUCUUCUUUUAAAUGUUAUUGUCCAACCAGGGAUGCUUGGGAGUAAAUCAAGUGAUGCAGCCUGGUGAGCAGCAGAAAGCAUGUGCUGACUUAGAGGGCCUCAGCAUCUCAGUGUGGGUAUUCCUGAAACCCGAGGCUCAGUGCUGAGCUUCCUCAGAAAGCACAAAGGUGACUGGUGAAAUUAAUAUAACGUUGCCUCGCCUGCAGACUAUUGAUUCUGCCUCAUUUCCUGGCUCCUCUUUUCCAUUCUGAAGACAUUAGCUACAGGGGCUAUUGAUCAACAAGUUGCCUGUCACUUCUUUGGGUGCAAAGGACAAGAGCCCUGUCACCUCAGUGCCACAGAAUAGAUGGAGAGGUAAAAGAUCUGAUGACGCCAUUGAUUUCAUUGUUGAACCAGAGAAGAGCAGGUCAGGAGGGUUCAUCAUGAAACUAAGAGAAAGCAAGCUAGAAGAAAACGUGAUUUCUUAUCCAACUCCACACAAAUUUGAGAGAUGACUUUGUGGCAGUUUUGCCAAGGAGUGGGAGCCUCAGUGUCCUUGAGGAAACAAAGGAGGAAAUAGAGAGUGAGAGGAAAGGACUGAAGCCCUUGCAUAUGCUAGGCAUAUGUUCUCCCAUUGAUCCACAUCUGCAGCCCAAUUUACCUUUUUAUUUAAUGAUGACAUUAAAUAUUUU